CUGCUGCCUUCCGUAGGAGUUUGGACCGUGUCUCAGUUCCAAUGUGGGGGACCUUCCUCUCAGAACCCCUAUCCAUCGUGUCUUGGUGGGCCGUUACCCCGCCAACUAACUAAUGGAACGCAUCCCCAUCCGAUAACCGAAAUUCUUUUAAUAAUCCAA
rnacentral:rRNA from 1 species